rnacentral:rRNA from 1 species
ACGGGGUGCAGCAGGCGCGAAAACUUUGCAAUACACGAAAGUGUGACAGGGCUAUCCCGAGUGCCAUCCGCUGAGGAAGGCUUUUACCCAGUUUAGAACGCUGGGGGAAUAAGGAGAGGGCAAGACUGGUGUCAGCCGCCGCGGUAAUACCUGCUCUCCGAGUGGUGUGGAUGUUUAUUGGGCCUAAAGCAUCCGUAGCUGGCCAAGUUAGUCCCCUGUUAAAUCCACCGAUUUAAUCGUUGGAGUGCGGGGGAUACUGCUCGGCUAGGGGACGGGAGAGGCAGACGGUAUUUCCGGGGUAGGGGUGAAAUCCUAUAAUCCCGGGAAGACCACCAGUGGCGAAGGCUGUCUGCUAGAACGCGCCCGACGGUGAGGGAUGAAAGCUGGGGGAGCGAACCGGAUUAGAUACCCGGGUAGUCCCAGCUGUAAACGAUGCAGGCUAGGUGUUUGGACGGCCACGUGCCGUUCUAGUGCCGCAGGGAAGCUGUUAAGCCUGCCGCCUGGGGAGUACGAUCGCAAGAUUGAAACUUAAAGGAAUUGGCGGGGGAGCAC